AACUGUGGAACAGUGCAGUGCCCUUUUUUGGAGCAACGUACGAGUAGUGCCCAUGGAUUAUGACCCCGCGACCCCAAUCUACGUGGCGGUCCGCAAUUCGCUACUUCAUACUGACUGGCGUCCGGCAUCGUCCCGAAUUUGGCCACAAUCUGCUCUCGGGACCCCUAUAGGGCUCCCUGACCUGCUCCAUCUCCGCCAUCGUCAAUGUACUGCGCAUCCACCCAGGCCAGGACUGCACUUACUUACGGGAAGGAGUAUUUGCAAGAUGGAACCUGGGAACUGGAAGACGACGAAGAGGAAGCGUGGGAAUCCGGCGGCAAUGGCUGGGAUGUAAGUCCAACAUUGCUGGUGCCAGAGUUGCCACUGCUUGCUUAUAAGGGAAUCAUGUGUGUUGCCUUUUUGCCUUUUCCGACGUCCUCCUCCGACUGUACUCCCGAUCCCAGGACUGAACUUACGGGAAGGAGUGCUUCCAAGAUGGGAGACGAAGAAGAAGAAGCCGCUGAAUCCGGCGGCAAUGGCUGGGAUGCUGCGUUCUCGAGAGGAAGCGUUAUUUCUGCAUUCCAAGAAGGACGGCACAAUGUGUCGGACUGUCCGCGUCGCAUUGAACUGGUCCGAUGAGGCUGCUAUUGCACACACAGUGAGGGAACUCCCAUACGGGAACUCGGAAGUACUGCUACAGUACAGGUAUAUCACCCCGUGACGACCACAUCGAAGUCUGAAAUUGAAGUGUGAAGAUGCUUCAGCAACCCCUUCAUAUUUUUCCAUUGCUUUUAUUGUGCUUCUACUGUGCAUGUGUGUAACCUGUGGGGUAUGCAUGUGAUGACAAUGUAUGCCGGUGACACGGUCAGAUGUUGUCCAUGCGUGUAACGUACACCUGCAUGCUAUCGUUGAAAAGGAUCUGCCACUUACGAUCUUCGGACGAGUAUCAGGUCAGCUUGGUUUUGUGUGGGCUGUACCAGACGCUGUUCACUUCUCUAUCUGUUGGAUAUGUGACUUUCUGCAAGUUUCUGGUGUAUGGUGGACACUUCUUUGCUUGUCUUUGUAUGACAUUACAAUAAUUCUGUAUUCACUGCUUCCAUGGUGUGGUCUGCAAACUGCAAUCCUUAGGCAAAUAUCAUCACGGUUUGCAAUAUUGUGCUUUGGCCGCUAGCUUACCUACACAUUGUACAUGUAGUUGAAUUAUUUUUGUUUCACAACUGACUUCCUGAAGUAUGGUGGCCACUGCUUUGCAUGGCAUUAUACAAUGUUCAUCAAGAAUUUCCUGUUUGGGUCGUGUGUGUGUAUGUAUGUGUGUGCGUGCCCAUGUGUGUGUGUGCCAUGUGCAUGUGCGUGUUUGUCACAAGGUGUCUGUGUGCGGGGUAGCGAGGUGGGGAGGGCUGGAAUGUAUCAGUGU